rnacentral:tmRNA from 1 species
GGGGGUGAUGGGCUUCGAUAGAAUUUGAAAAUUAAAUAUGCAGGCCGAGGAUAUCUCGUAACCUCGAAAUUCCGUUGGGAUAAUAUCCUGGUGCGACAAUCCCCGAGAUAAAGCAGAAAAUAACUGCCAAAACAAAUCUAACUCCUGCUUUCGCUUUUGCUUAAGCAGCAUCGGCUGUCUGAUGUCUAAUAGGAUAAUACCGGUGUCAACCAUUAGGCUUUAAUCCGGAAAAUCUUCGAUUCGGAUAGAACUAAAGAAGAAACGGGAAUCUUUUAUUUUGGCUAUUUUUAAGAAAGAUUUCUAAAACAAUAAAUAGUAUAUCGCCUGUAGAUAUAUUUAAUUAAAAAUUCUAGAUGCGAGUUCAACUCUCGCCAUCUCCAUCA